UACGAAGGGGGCUAGCGUUGUUCGGAAUUACUGGGCGUAAAGCGCACGUAGGCGGAUAUUUAAGUCAGGGGUGAAAUCCCGGGCUCAACCCGACUAGCUUCUGAUACUGGGAAUCUCGAGUCCGGGAGAGGUGAGUGGAACUGCGAGUGUAGAGGUGAAAUUCGUAGAUAUUCGCAAGAACACCAGUGGCGAAGGCGGCUCACUGGCCCGGUACUGACGCUGAGGUGCGAAAGCGUGGGGAGCAAACAGG
rnacentral:rRNA from 1 species